AUCAAUUUCUAUAUAAUAUGUAUUCCAAAUACUUGAUUUGUUUAUAAAUGUAGAGAAAAUUUGUGAUCAAUUUGUGAUCACAUUUUUUAAUAUGUUUGAUAUUCUCCACUUGAUAUAUUAUUAAGGAUAGGGGAUAUAACCUCCCACUGUUGUGGAAUUUCUCAGGAGUUCAAUUUGAGACACAUUGUACUUCUGAGUUUUAUUAGUGAACACGUCCGUGUUGUGUGCAGUAUUUAUAUGUAUGGGGAGAUGUGGAAGCUUGAAUAGCUAUAACAAAUUGAAUGUGUUUAUACUUUAUUUCAAAUAGUUACUGUACUUGAAAAACUCCAACAGGAAUACUUUGGGUUUGAAAAAUUUUACAAACAGAAAACUGUUUGCAAGGAGAUGAACGAGACCAGAUUUAUCUAUGAAUUGCAAACUCCAUGUGAGCAUUGUGUAUUUUUAUUGCAUGUAUGAGCUGUUUUUAUACAUGAGAUUUAUAUUUUGACAUGUUUUACUGUAAGCCAAUUUUUGUAAAGUACAAGUUGCCUUAAACAGGCUUAUUUGCCAGCUCUGUGCUUUUGAUCAAGGUAACCGUCUUCAAAGUCCCAUAACUCUGAUAUUUACGAUUAGAUUCAUCCUCUGGUGCUAUUGUAUUUUGGUCCACGUAUAUGUAGUGGUGCUCAUAUGGGACUAAUUGUGUGGCUUUGAUGUAUACUUUUGAACCCAUCUGAGAAAAUGAUUUAUUACUUUACUUUGUAAUUUAAAAGAUUUAGUGUUAGACCCCUUAAUUUUUUAAGAUAUAACUAUUCUCUAGAAUGUACAGCCAUAAAUUUCAAGUAUAGUCCUCUAAUAACACUAGCUACUAUAGUAAGUAUGUUUCAUGUGUUAUUGUCAAACUAGCAAAGGUAAUGCCAAGAUGUCCGUGUUUUAUUGUACUGUCAGAAGUUCAUGUAUAUUCAUUUAUUUUUCUGUUUUCAAAAGAAAAUUCUUUUUAUUAUUCUGCUAGCCUGUAAUAGGAAAUAAAUUGUUAUUCGUAU
rnacentral:misc_RNA from 1 species